UUAAGUAAAAUCAUCAUUAGGUGAGGAAAAAAUAAUGAUAAUGAAGCAAAAUUGCAGGUGCUACAGUAAUAGUAAUAAUGUGUUAUUACUCACUCCAUUCCUUCCCAUUUUGUUCUUUCUCUCUGUCUCUCUUGCCAUUUUCCUUUCAUAAUGGGAGCUGAAUCAGAAUCUCAUCAAACUCCAUUUUCUUUGGCAGAUCCACGGCCUCCGGGGGGACGCGUUCACCGGAGAUGAGGGAGACGGCGGCGUUCCCGUCUAUCUCGGUGGUGGAUCUGAUCGUAGAUGGUGUUGUCUGGCAUGAGAGGGCUCUCCGUCUUCAUCGGAGACAUUCGUAUUUGACAGAAACCUUCAUGUUGGCUAAACUCGGCAACUUCCUAACGCGUUUUAUAAACGAUUAGGUCAAAAACCCUCGUCUUCCAUCUGCCUAAGUAAGCUUCUUCAGACCAUAUAUAUAUCUACUGAAAUGUUUUCCCCUGAUGAGGUCCCUUUCUGGACCAUCUUUUUUAAAGCUUCAACAAGUGGUAUGUCUCUGCUUUAAGUUUGUAUUCAGCUAUACUAAUUUUGAGUGAGUUAAUUAAAUGUUGCAUAUUUUGUUGAUUUUGCCCGUUAGAGAAGUUAUACCCAUUCCACUGCCUGAACAGGCGAACAUAUUCAACAGCUACUACCAUUUGACAUAAAGCACAUUUAUGUAUUCCCAUUUUUUUUCCUGCUAUCUAUCUGCACAGCAGUACUUUUCUGUAAGCAUGCAGACAAGGAUGUGAGAUACGAAACUGUUUUCCUUUGAGCAGAGGCUGUUUUUUGCUAAUUGAUUGUCAUCGUAUUGGUUUUACAAGAUGAACAUCCAAUGGGUCAACAAUCCAGCACUCCUUGAGCAAUGCGGGCUAGUUAUAUGGCUAAAUUGAGGUGAACUGAUGUUAGUUUCGCAAACCACACGUAAUUCAACAAGUACGGUCUUCAAGCCAGUGAUUGUACAAGCAGUGGUCAUUUUCUUAUAUGGCUCUUUUACUGAAUUAUUCGUGGUACAGCUUGUAAAAGAUAGUUUCGUAGUACAAAUUGUAACAUCAGUAUUGUCAUUCUCUUAAAAAUUAGUUUCAUUAGGAUAGUAGGGAGUGUAGAAUACAUAUUUAUUUGCUUUAAAAUGCUUUUAAAGUCAUCGGCUUCAUAACAGACGAACAAAAAACUUGUACGCGCAGUGACAGUAAAAAGCACAACUAUCCCAAGUCUGACGCAGAGCUAGUUCUCUAUUACAGGUCUCGUUCGGCAAUGAAUACCCUAAAGCACUUCAUAAUGCUGACAAGCGCACUCCAUUUACAUGUUAAUAUCAAUCCUAAGCAAUUCACGGAAGUGAAUGUGAACGCAUUAUAAAAGCUUCGCUUUAAAUUGGGUACAAGUUCCUAACUUGACCGAACUCCAAAAAAAUGAGAAUUUUAAUUUUUAAUCUAUACAAAUAAUGUAUCAGAGAAGCAUUGUAAAAAAAAUUGCUUAUCUCUGAGUUCAGGGCAAUUUCCUGUGGACUGAAAUGGGAAAGGCAUUCCCUGUAACUCGGGAACAAAAUCCGCCGAAAUACCAACAACGAAAACCAUCGAGUGCAGGCUGAAAAACACACCUCUGAUCAUAUGCCCUUAUUAGGUCGCAGAGCUAAGCAUUCUACCAGCUUACAUGAUUGUCACAAAAUUACUUCUCAAUUUGUC